UGUGCCAGCAGCCGCGGUAAUACGUAGGGCGCAAGCGUUCUCCGGAUUUAUUGGGCGUAAAGGGCUCGUAGGCGGCUCGUCGCGUCCGGUGUGAAAGUCCAUCGCUUAACGGUGGAUCUGCGCCGGGUACGGGCGGGCUGGAGUGCGGUAGGGGAGACUGGAAUUCCCGGUGUAACGGUGGAAUGUGUAGAUAUCGGGAAGAACACCGAUGGCGAAGGCAGGUCUCUGGGCCGUCACUGACGCUGAGGAGCGAAAGCGUGGGGAGCG
rnacentral:rRNA from 1 species